CUCUUCUCACCAAGAUUGCGGCUUUGAGUUUAUCUCUCAAUGUUCUACUUCUUCAACAAUCCAAGAUCUUCAAUUUUGGAUAAUUAUCUCGUCUUGCUUUCUGUCGUAUAUUAUUUUACUGGGAUAGCUUAUGCACUUGCCAUCUCCUUUGAACCUGGUCAAGCUCAACUGGUGUGUAUUCGGUACUUUUAUCAUACAAUACGUAUCAACUCCAACCGUUAUCCUCUAUUGCCGCGAUAAUCUACGAACAAACUGAUCUAUCUUUCAGUGGUUGGUGUUGCUACCAGUUGUCUUGACCCUCGUAGCAAGCAAGGACAGUGCGGUCACUGCAAUAGUAGGAGAUUAUAUCUAUUCAAAGCGGACCUUGGAAGCAUUUAUAAUUGCAAAUGCUAAAAGGUACUCUGGGGUGUGGCUGAUCACAAGAUGUGGUGUACUAAGG